rfam:Munia coronavirus HKT13-3514, complete genome
GAGUAGUGGGUUCCAGUGAAGCCCGACUGGAACCCCAACAGCCAGGUACAAUCCCUGAUGCUGUUAAACGGGCUUUUC